rnacentral:rRNA from 1 species
UACGUAGGGCGCAAGCGUUGUCCGGAUUCACUGGGUGUAAAGGGUGCGUAGGCGGGAAGGUAAGUCCGCGGUGAAAUCUCACAGCUCAACUGUGAAACUGCCGUUGAUACUGCUUUUCUUGAGUUCGGGAGAGGUUGAUGGAAUUCCAGGUUGUAGCGGUGAAAUGCGUGGAUAUCUGGAAGAACACCAGUGGCGAAGGCGGUCAACUGGCCCGUAACUGACGCUGAGGCACGAAAGCGUGGGGAGCGAACAGG